CACACCUGUAUUUCAACAGCGUUGAUAGCAAAGUUAAAAUCAGAGGAUGUUAUUCUUCAGCAUAAUAUCCUUCAACACUUCUCCAUGGUCCUUUACAUGUCACCAAUCUUUCAUGACAGGUCACCAGACCACCACGGCAGUCCCACUUCUAGUCAUUUAUCUUUUCAUUCCAAUUCUGCCGUCAUACUGGGCUACUCUGGGACCUCGAAUCGUGGUGCUGCCCCAGGACGCUUUCCUUUUCAGACACCUUGAGCAACUACAGGGCGGCAGGUGAACAUGGGGUACUACUGAGACACCAUUCAUCAUUGGAGGAGUGGACACGAGGUGCUAUUGAGGCACCAUUCAUCAUUGGAGGAGUGGACGCGGGGUACUAUUGAGGCACUAUUCAUCAUUGGAGGAGUGAACACGGGGUACUACUGAAGCACUAUUCAUCAUUGCGGGAGUGGACACGGGGUACCAUUGAGACACCGUUCAUCAUUGGAGGAGUGGACACGGGGUACUAUUGAGGCACUAUUCAUCAUUGGAGGAGUGGACACGGGGUACUAUUGAGACACCAUUCAUCAUUGCAGGAGUGGACACGGGGUACCAUUGAGACACCGUUCAUCGUUGGAGGAGUCGACAUGGGGUACCAUUGAGGCACCGUUCAUCAUUGGAGGAGUGGACACGGGGUACCAUUGAGGCACCAUUCAUCAUUGGAGGAGUCGACACGGGGUACUAUUGAGGCACUAUUCAUCAUCAGAGGAGUGGACACGGGUUACUUCUGAGGCACCAUUCAUCAUUGGAGGAGUGGACACAGGGUACCACUGAGGCACCAUUCAUCAUUGGAGUAGUAGCACACAUUCCACAAUGUUUUUGCAAACCAACAAACUAUUUAUUUAGGGAGUUGACCGUAUAACUUAUUAUCUGAUCCAAAUGCUGAACCAAUGGCAUUAUUACCCUUAAGUUACCUUUGGAGUAAAGGGUGAUAAUGCUAUUAAUAAUCAACCUAGAAACAACCAAAGACUCUAUCUGUCCUAGGCAAACCAAAACCUGUGUCACCUACUAGGGGACUAAGGGGAAAGUAUCCACAGGUAGAGGAAGCUGUGAUGUGUUUUACUGUGGAGAGAAUUGUAAAAUGAUUAUCUCCAUGCUCCAAGCAUUUCCGCAGAAGGCAGGAGAUAGGGCCUCAAAGCAGAGGAAAGAAAGCCUCAAGCAGUGAGAGGCUGUUGGGGCCAAUUCAGGACUUGCUCACCUCUAAAAGGAAACACUGUGCCUCUUUUUAAAGAGUGUUUGUUUGUUUCUUAAUGGUGCAUAAUGAGACAUGUUGUUUAAAUUAUCUUUUCAAGGAAGCCUAUGUCUAAAACCUCUUUGAAUUUCCAGUCUUGUGCACAGCGUUUGGCAAAUAGUGAAGACCCAUAAAUGGUCACGAAUAAAUGAUAGUAAUAAUGGCCAAGUUUGGAAUGUUUUACCCCACUAGAGAGGCAGCGAUGGUCUGCCAUAAUUAAAGGUCUUUUGUUAAAAAUAGGUACAGCUGUCUCCAAGCCACGAAUCCCACAAAUCUACAUAUUAUUUGGGUCCUAAAAAUGGCCAAAUAUGUUGUACUAAUACAUAUCCAGAGAAACAAAACAUUAUUUUCAUAGAAGUGUCUUCUGAAUGUAACACACAAAAUAUAUUUGUGGCAGUGAAGCUCAGUCGUGGGUAAUAUUUGGAAUGGAUUUGGCCGCCUGUAUUGUGUUCCAUUGCACUUGCCAUUCUGUGUUUUUUGACAGUGCCAUUACCCUGCAGUUUCCACCAAAGUGCAG
rnacentral:lncRNA from 1 species